rnacentral:rRNA from 1 species
UACGGAGGGGGCUAGCGUUGUUCGGAAUUACUGGGCGUAAAGCGCACGUAGGCGGCUUUGUAAGUUAGAGGUGAAAGCCCGGGGCUCAACUCCGGAAUUGCCUUUAAGACUGCAUCGCUAGAAUUGUGGAGAGGUGAGUGGAACUGCGAGUGUAGAGGUGAAAUUCGUAGAUAUUCGCAAGAACACCAGUGGCGAAGGCGGCUCACUGGCCCGGU